rnacentral:rRNA from 1 species
GACGAACGCUGGCGGCGUGCCUAAUACAUGCAAGUCGAGCGGGGAGCUUUCGCGGAAGCCUUCGGGCGGAAGCGAAAGAUCCUAGCGGCGGACGGGUGAGUAACACGUGGGCAACCUGCCCGCAAGACCGGGAUAACUCACGGAAACGUGGGCUAAUACCGGAUAAGCGCUUUUUCCGCAUGGGGGAAGCGGGAAAGACGGGGCAACCUGUCACUUGCGGAUGGGCCCGCGGCGCAUUAGCUAGUUGGUGAGGUAACGGCUCACCAAGGCGACGAUGCGUAGCCGGCCUGAGAGGGUGACCGGCCACACUGGGACUGAGACACGGCCCAG